UACGUAGGGCGCAAGCGUUGUCCGGAAUUAUUGGGCGUAAAGAGCUCGUAGGCGGCUUGUCACGUCGGGUGUGAAAGCCCGGGGCUUAACCCCGGGUCUGCAUUCGAUACGGGCAAACUGGAGUACUGCAGGGGAGACUGGAAUUCCUGGUGUAGCGGUGAAAUGCGCAGAUAUCAGGAGGAACACCGGUGGCGAAGGCGGGUCUCUGGGCCGAUAUUGACGCUGAGGAGCGAAAGCGUGGGGAGCGAACAGG
rnacentral:rRNA from 1 species